GACGAACGCUGGCGGCGUGCUUAACACAUGCAAGUCGAACGGAAAGGCCCUGCUUUUGUGGGGUGCUCGAGUGGCGAACGGGUGAGUAACACGUGAGUAACCUGCCCUUGACUUUGGGAUAACUUCAGGAAACUGGGGCUAAUACCGGAUAGGAGCUCCUGCUGCAUGGUGGGGGUUGGAAAGUUUCUGCGGUUGGGGAUGGACUCGCGGCUGAUCAGCUUGUUGGUGGGGUAGUGGCUUACCAAGGCUUUGACGGGUAGCCGGCCUGAGAGGGUGACCGGCCACCUUGGGACUGAGAUACGGCCCAGACUCCUACGGGAGGCAGCAGUGGGGAAUAUUGCACAAUGGGCGGAAGCCUGUUGCAGCAACGCCGCGUGCGGGAUGACGGCCUUCGGGUUGUAAACCGCUUUCGCCUGUGACGAAGCGUGAGUGACGGUAAUGGGUAAAGAAGCACCGGCUAACUACGUG
rnacentral:rRNA from 1 species